CUCUGGGUUACUUGAUUAAGAAAUCAAGCUAAGCAAGUCAUGAAAAGCAAGCCAGUACGUAGUUUUCCUCUGUGGUUCCUGCCUCUGAUCCAGGACUAAUUCUUGCCUAGACUUACAAAAUGAAAUAAUUUCUUUUCUCCUCUAAGUUGGUUUGGUCCCAGUUUUAUUACAGCAACAGAGAAGCAAACUAAGAGACCUGGAAAAAUGGAGUCUCAAAUAAGGAACUGCAUGGAUCAGACUGGCCUGUGGGUCUUAGUGCUUUAUCACAGCAUCAGAGAGCAGCCUAGGCCAUUUGCUGAGAGACCUCUCCGGUCUAUCUGGCUACAGGAGAUGCAUGAAGCUCUGGAGAUAAUGUGGAUGGGCUUAUACUCAGACAAACUAGAAGCCUCUAGGGUUAAGCCCAGGUGAAGGAUCCUGUUGCAGCGUUGUUCUUGCUGGUCGAGUUGG